GGUUCAGGACGAACGCUGGCGGCGUGCCUAACACAUGCAAGUCGAGCGAGGAGAUUCCUCGGGAUGAUCCUAGCGGCGGACGGGUGAGUAACACGUGGGCAACCUGCCUCAUAGAGAGGAAUAGCCUUCCGAAAGGGAGAUUAAUACCUCAUAACAUUGCAGUUUCGCAUGGAACAGCAAUUAAAGGAGUAAUCCGCUAUGAGAUGGGCCCGCGGCGCAUUAGCUAGUUGGUGAGGUAAUGGCUCACCAAGGCGACGAUGCGUAGCCGACCUGAGAGGGUGAUCGGCCACAUUGGGACUGAGACACGGCCCAGACUCCUACGGGAGGCAGCAGUGGGGAAUAUUGCACAAUGGGGGAAACCCUGAUGCAGCCAACGCCGCGUGAGUGAUGACGGCCUUCGGGUUGUAAAGCUCUGUCUUCAGGGACGAUAAUGACGGUACCUGAGGAGGAAGCCACGGCUAACUACGUGCCAGCAGCUGC
rnacentral:rRNA from 1 species